UGCAAAAUAGCAGUACUGUUUUGAAGAGGCUGGAGGAGUGUUUGUAAGGGAAGGAACGUCACUCACACAGCACGCCAAUCUGACUCUUUCAUCCUAAUCUUGAGAUGUUUACAGUGUGCUGCUAAUAUGAAUGGGGUGGUAGAAUAUCAGUGGUGCAAAACUGCAAAUCUUGGAAGUCUUUUAUUUUUUUGCCAUUUCACUUGUAUGGAAUCCAGGAUCCAACUUCAGUCAUCUUUAAUAUAUUGUUGCGUAAUCUAGUGUACCAUACCUGGUGUUAAGUGCUGUGUGUAUGACUCUGCUGAGUGGACAGAAAAUCUCAGAGUUAAUUUUUAGGACACCCAGAUAAUUCAGUUUCAGUUAUAGUACUUGAAUUUAAAGCAGUUUGUUCCUACUGAAGCACGUAAGGUUAAUGCCCUAAUCUUAAACUCCUGUGGUAGCAUGUCUGCCUUGGUUGUCUGAGAUAAGUCAUAAAUCAUCUUAAAUCCUAGCAGUAUUUAAUGGUGUUUUGGAUUGGAUUGCCUGACAUUCCAGUUUAUUCUCUGUAAGAGUAGAUCUUUUCAACCAGAAGGCUUUAAUGAUGAUGAUGAUGAUGAUACUGGCAGCAGGAAUUGCUUUUGAGUUAAGUGAUUAUAACUUUCAUUUUUUCACCACUAUUUCAGGAGUAGGGGAACAGUUGGAACAUGCUGUUCUGUGCUGUUUUAGCAGCUAAAGGUGCCUCAUGUGGAUUUCAGUCUACAGCAAAAAAAAGCUAGGAGGAAAAUGGAAUUCUGAGGUAUUUCACUGCUUCUACAAAGACAGCUCAGAAAGUGCUGCAGAUUUGUUGGUUCGCUUCACGAUGAUACCAUUGAAAGAUGCAGAGGACCUACUUAACCCCAGUAAAAUUAGCAAAAAUGUAUAGAACAAGUACCAAUAUAUGUUGGAAAUGUAAAGGAAAAGAAGGUAAAUGGAAUUGUAAUGUAACAAAAAAAUUCUGGGAAAUAUAAUGAAAUGAAAAAAAUGUUAAAAAUAACCUUUUUUAAUUAGGAAUUAUAGGUACCGUGAUCCCAAAGAUCAGAGGAAACUGGUCGCAUAUGCUACAAUGGCCGCUCGGAUGCUACUAGCCCAGAGACGGAAGGAAGAGGAAACUCCGACCAAAGAAGAAUGGCAAAUCAAGCUGAUGGACGAUGCCGAAAGUCAGCAUGGUGCAAACGCAUCAGCGGAGCCAACUGCUACUGAUCCUGCCUACUUUUGCCGCAGCUUAUAGCCACCACCCAACCCCCAGACUGAAAAAGAUAUUUUACAUCAGUAUGCAGUGGUGGCAAGAAACUGUGAUGUGGAAAGUGUCUGGAUCUUUAAGUUUUAUCUCACAUUAUUUGGCAUUGCUUGCCUAUCUGCUUUGAGAUACGUCUGUUACAACAGCCAACUAUGUAACAGGUGAAUGGUUACUAUCUACACAGGAAAAAACCCACUGUGUUGUGGUUGCACAUUGAGCAGAUUCAAGGCAGUUUACAACUGGGGCUGUUUAUAGUGGAUUCUGCUGCCUUUGUUUGUUGGCUGUCAGGACUGUAGCAAAACGCCUUCCACAAUCCUGGGAAAGGUAGUUUGUUAUGGGUGCUGGAAAUUCUAACUCUGUGAGAAGCAAACUAUAGUUCCCAGGAUUAUUUGGUAGAAACAAUUUGCUUUAAAUGGGAUGUGACAAUCAACAGCCUCUUAUUCUUGGCCCUUUCUUUGUCAAGGAGGGUUACUCAAUGCAUGCUCCAAUUUCAGACCGAGUUUUCCAGUCCCAGUGGAACCGGAACAUGGGUGGAAUAGCACAAUGACAUCACCUGCAGAGUAACUCUAGAUGUGACAGGGAAAGGGGAAGGUGGAGACAUGAGGCUGAUGCUAGGUGAUUGCUCCCCAUCUGCCAAAACAUCUGGCUCCACGUUGGUUCCCAUAUAACGAAGGAGCUGUUGGGUGCAAUCUUUUUCUUCCUUUUCUUUUUGUAGUAGAACAAUUGUUUCAGGGCCUGUGCAUCCGUGAAGUGGUAUAGGUGAAUAUAAAAGAGGGGAGAUUCAGCUUCUUCUUCUUCUUUAUCAUCUUUAUUAAUUUAAAAUACAAUUUAAAAUACAAUCAUACAAUAAAGGUAAGUACAACAGAGUUAAGCACAAAAAGAAAAAAAAGAAAAAAGAAAAGAAGGACAAAAAAGAAUUUAACAGUAGCAAGAAAAUGUCAA